UGAUUACAAUAGUAAAUAUGGCAUCAGGAAGGCAUCAGAAUCAUUAGUGAUGACUUAAAAAAGAUUACUGCAGUAUUUCAAUGAAAAAUAUAACUUAAGCUGUUUUAAAUCAUGAAUAAAGACUAAUAUGUGCAAGCUUUUAAUUGAGGCAGAUCCCAUCUUGCAUCUCAUUUCCCAAUCAAUUAUUUCUCACGUUCACUUGUAUCUAUAAAACCUACA
rnacentral:lncRNA from 1 species